GUUUUGGGUCCAUCAAGUUUUUGGCGCCGUUGCCGGGGAGUUGCAAAGAAGAGAAACAAUUUGUGUCAAGGUGUAUUUGUUGGGGCAAAUGAAAUGUUGAUAAAAUGUUGGUAUAAAGAAAUGAAGAAAGCAAGCCCAAAAUGAAAGGCCCAAUCCAAUUCUUGACAAUGCCAUGUCAUCAAUCCAUGUGCUUCUUUCUCCACCAUUGGAUUUGUAACUAUAGGAAAAGAUGACAAUUUUGAGCAUGAAUCCAUGUGCUUUUUUUUAGACUAAUAGGAGUGUUAUCCUUUACCAAAGAAUUUAUCUAUAAAUAGGAGUCUCAUUUCACCAUUUCAAGCACACCUUCUCUUACACCACUUCUUCCAUCUCUCUAUUCUCUCCAUCUUUUUCUUUUCUUAGAUUAGUUUUUAUGUAUUUUUAGAGGAAUAAUUUGGAGGUUCCUCCUCCAAAUUUUCCUAUUUAUGUUGUAAUUUUUAUUUUUGUUUUUGAUAGUUAUGGGUUUCUAAUCCACUUAAAAUUAUUAAGGUGGAGGAUGAACCAAGAUAUAACUAUAUAGUGUUUAUUUUAUGUUGACCUCCCAAAAUGAGCAAUAAAGUUUAUGAUUUUUCUUCUUCUAAAUAUUUCUUUCAUCUAUAAUAUCAUGUAUUUUAGAUUGUUAGAACAUAUUUUACUUGGUUCUUAAUUGUGCAAAAACAUAGUAUUCUUUGAUUAAGAUGUGUCAUUAAAUUGUUCACAUCCAAUGCUUAGAACAAAAAUACUAUAUUUUGCUUUAGAAAUAACAUUAUUUGAUUUUUUUGUAGUUUCAUUAAAUUGAUUCACAACUAAUGCUUUAAAGUUAUACUAUUGAAGUGAAGGAAAAUCUAUAUUUUUUGAAUUAAAGAGAGCUUAAAGGAAGAAUAAUGUUUUGGAAAAGGUAAUUAGAUUAAUUUCAAUUAUCACUAAAAAUUGGGAAGUCAACAUAUUAAUAAAUAUUAUUAUUUAUAUUUUGUGGAUUCUAAAAUCUUAAUAAUUUUAUAAAUAACUAUUAAAAACAAAUCUUUUUAGUUUAUUUAUUUUAAUUUUUUUUAGUAUUUUCUUUCUUUAUUUUAAAACAAAACACAUCAAUCUUUGGAACUAGGUUAGAAAUUUAUUUCA